CAGGAUUGGCGUUUGAUAUUUUUAAUUUUUAUGAGAAUUUCUCUCUUUUUCUAGCUUGUCUUGUGGGAACUAAUGUGGAGUCUCCAAUGGAAAAAGAAAUGAGACUACAUUACUACAAAACUAUUACCAUAGGCUACCUCUCAUUUGUUAAAUAUUCGAACACAAUACUUAUAUAGAUAUAUACUUAAUAUCUUCGUCCAAUUGUGAUAGAUUUUAGUUAGUAAUUACUCUAUAA
rnacentral:lncRNA from 1 species